UGGAUUGUGCGGCUUAAUUUGACUCAACGCGAGGUAACUUACCAAUAUUUUAUUAUUUUGAGAAGAUUUUUAAUCUGAGAAUGAUAAUAGUGGUGCAUGGCCGUUUUCAAUGGAUGUUGUGAAGUUUUGAUUAAUUUCAACAAGACGUGAGACCCUUUUAUUAUAGACAGACACAAUCAGUGUAGGAAGGAAAGGAUUAAAACAGGUCCGUUAUGCCCUCAGACAUUUUGGGCUGCACGCGCAAUACAAUAGAUAUAUGAUCUUUAUGGGAUAAUAUUUUGUAAGAGAUAUUUGAACUUGGAAUUGCUAGUAAAUUUUAUUAAAUAAGUAGAAUUGAAUGUGUCCCUGUUCUUUGUACACACCGCCCGUCGCUAUCUAAGAUGAUAUAUGUUGUGAAAUUAGUGAAAACUACUUGAACAAUAUGUAUUAGAUCUGAUAUAAGUCGUAACAUGGUUGCUGUUGGAGAACCAUUAGCAGGAUCAUAAUA
rnacentral:rRNA from 1 species